rnacentral:rRNA from 1 species
UACGUAGGCAGCGAGCGUUGUUCGGAGUUACUGGGCGUAAAGGGCGCGUAGGCGGCCCGCUAAGUCGAACGUGAAAUCCCCGAGCUCAACUCGGGAACUGCGUCCGAUACUGGUGGGCUUGAAUCCGGGAGAGGGAUGCGGAAUUCCAGGUGUAGCGGUGAAAUGCGUAGAUAUCUGGAGGAACACCGGUGGCGAAGGCGGCAUCCUGGACCGGCAUUGACGCUGAGGCGCGAAAGCUAGGGGAGCAAACGGG